rnacentral:ncRNA from 2 species
AAAAUCGUAACAAGGUUUCCGUAGGUGAACCUGCGGAAGGAUCAUUACCGAGUGAGGGCCCUCUGGGUCCAACCUCCCACCCGUGUUUAUUUUACCUUGUUGCUUCGGCGGGCCCGCCUUAACUGGCCGCCGGGGGGCUUACGCCCCCGGGCCCGCGCCCGCCGAAGACACCCUCGAACUCUGUCUGAAGAUUGUAGUCUGAGUGAAAAUAUAAAUUAUUUAAAACUUUCAACAACGGAUCUCUUGGUUCCGGCAUCGAUGAAGAACGCAGCGAAAUGCGAUACGUAAUGUGAAUUGCAAAUUCAGUGAAUCAUCGAGUCUUUGAACGCACAUUGCGCCCCCUGGUAUUCCGGGGGGCAUGCCUGUCCGAGCGUCAUUGCUGCCCUCAAGCACGGCUUGUGUGUUGGGCCCCGUCCUCCGAUCCCGGGGGACGGGCCCGAAAGGCAGCGGCGGCACCGCGUCCGGUCCUCGAGCGUAUGGGGCUUUGUCACCCGCUCUGUAGGCCCGGCCGGCGCUUGCCGAUCAACCCAAAUUUUUAUCCAGGUUGACCUCGGAUCAGGUAGGGAUACCCGCUGAACUUAAGCAUAUCAAUAAGCGGAGGAAAAGAAACCAACAGGGAU